CUGCUUUAAUCCUAUGACUAACAUGGUAAAAAAUUGAUUUAUGCUGAAAUUUUAGGCUUUUAGAUAGCUAAUGAGGGUCUGAUCACUUAAAUGAUCAAAAACCAAAACACAACCAGUACUGCCACUCAGGAAACUAAGAAUACCCAUAACAUGCGUUUGCAAAUAUGUUGAGGAAGGAAGAUCUAUAUGAAGUUAUUUAUAUGUAGGAAAUUGAAAGUUUUUGCCUAUUUUUGUUGUCAUGUAAUGUCUUGUUCUUUGCUCUUGCAUGUGAAAUAGAUAUGCAUCAUCCAUAAAUUGUAUUUAUCCAAAUAAUAUUGCAUUUUCUUUUCCAUCAUCUUCAAAUGUUAUGCAAGGAUCAUUUGUUUGGUGGUGUUGAC
rnacentral:misc_RNA from 1 species